CCAUCGGACAAGGCGAGCGCCACCUUUCCCUGCGAGAGGGAAGGCCAGCGCCUUGGUGAAGAUGCUCCAAACAGACGUCAGCGCGACAUCCGAGCAGCCACCCUUCACGUCACACCACGAGGCCCACUUCCACGCCCGCCAAACCGUGCCCCAGAGCUGAGCUCGACGUAGCGCUCGGUGAAGCCCACCGCCGCCCCACUCUCCCCCAGACCUCGACGAGGUUUACGUUGAGAGUGUCAAAGGCCCUCCCGACACAGGCUAGAAGCACGCUGCGGAACGCUUGAAACUAGAGCGUUGCCAUCGGCCACGCUCCUGCUACACGGGAAAACGAUUCGUGGGGCUCAUGGUGCUCCCUCGCGAAGCCGUGUAUACCCGACGGCGGUCUCGUGUUCCACUGCCUCCGUGGCGCUGACCAGCAACCUCUUACCAUCACUCGAACGAAUGAUCUUGCGAAGGCUGCGCGACCAUCUGGAGGCGAAGCUCCAGCCGCCGCAGCCUGGCCUACGCCCUCACCGAUCCACCGCAGCCUCCCUGGACCUGUACCCUUCACCUAGUAAGGCAGCGCCAGCCAGCUACGAAGCUAGGGGCAGCGUUGGGACACUCUACGCUCGCGCGCUGGACGCGGCAGACCGCGGCGCCGUCAUCCCAGCUCCGAGAAAGCUCAGCAUGGCCGCGUAACCUACUCGCUGGGUCAUGGAUCUCUGAGGAAAUCGUCGCGCCUGAGCUCGCUUCCGCAAGAGGAGAGCGACGAUGACCAGCGUGUGCGUGCGGAGCCGGGCAACAGUCAGCCCGAUAUCCUCUUCUCUUGAUCAGUGCAGUGAGCUCGCUGAGUGCCGAGCACAGCAAGAUAGCCGGACGAAGUAAAGCUUUCGGUUCGGAUAUCCUCGAACUCCUGACGCCCUCCGCAGACAUGGAUGUCAUGCGAGCCACACUAAGACCCGCCCUCGGGAACACUUCAUGGUGGUGAGUGCCCCCCCUCCACCUUCUCCGCGCGGACCUCCUCCAGCCGACGCGCCGCAUGGACCCACAUGCUGCCGUGGUCAUCACAAUACCCAUGACUCGGCCUGCCGAGCUCGGGGGGGGGUCUGACGGACCGCAUGCGUGCGGUCCGUAAGAGCGGAGGCGUCGCUCUUCCCACAUGGCACGGCCUGAAUCAAACCCACGCGCCACAGUGCCACCGCGUGAUCGGAUAGUGCUGGUGGGAAACUGCUGGAGGGGCCUUGAGCACCUUCACGCCAAAGCCGUCGCAGUUAUCGUUGGUGACCCCCAAUACGUACACAGCGGACACCCACUCGAAGAGGCCGAUACACUGCCCCUCGACCCCAUAGCGCCGCUGCGCCGCGCACGCCUGUAUAUCCCUCCGCAGCCACGCCAGGAGGCCACCUAGCGCACUUGACAAGAGGAUGCGGUGCACACACCGCACGGCGGUGUCAUCGCAAAACCUCCGCAGCUCUCACACCGGUGUGCUGGCAUCGACAAUCCUCGUAGCGCCACAUGCACACGCACACCUCCCUAUCCACGGCGGCCGCGUGCACGCCAGCAUAUCACUCCCUGGCAAGCUGCGGGCGCGCACCUUCCAAACGAAGAGAAAGCCGGCCGCAUGCAGGCAGCGACUCGCCGGCGCUGCGGAGCCCUCUCACCCGCUGUGGACAGACGGUACAGCACCGACAGACAGCGCGUCAGGAGCGGCCGCGAUGCUUGCAAAAUGCAAAUUACAGCCAACGAUGCGGCGACAAGAGCCCGCGCGACCCCCUCCCCCCUUGCCUGCCGCUGCCGCGCUGGAUGUGAAGCACCGGAACCAAAACCUGACCUGCUGCGAAGACAGAUCGAUUAACUAAGGCAGGGGGAAGUAAAGCAUUGCCGCCGUUACGGACUUGCUCUCCCUCCUCGUGGCACUCUCACGGGCCCUACGGCGGUGAUGGGGAUGGCGUGCCGCGACGUAUCUGGGCACAUACGCUGGCGCCAUCAGCCCGCCGCCGUCGUCGUCGUCGUCGCGCGUCUAUCACCUCGGCUUGUCGUUGGCUAUUGCGAGCUGGUGCAGCAGGGCGAAGCUGACAAGCUUGCGACAUCGGCAGUGAAGGAGGGGCCGGCGCCAACUGCACGGAUCGCGGACUUGGGUACUGUCCUCAGACGCGAGGUCGAUAGCCGCAUAUCCGCUCCCCCUAAAAAAAAACCGCGGUGCACGAUGCGACACGCCACAGCAAGAGGUGCUUGGCGACAGUCGUCCCACACCCGAGGAACACGGAUGCUGAGCUCGCGAGGCCGCAGGAGACCAUCUUCACGCAGUCCCGCACAGACACCUGUCCGUGCAUUUUGGAUCGCUGCAGCGGCGGGUGGCUGGCGGUGACAACAUGGGGCGCAGAUGGUGUGCUGCCUAUUACGCCGCCGGCAUUGUGGCACCCACCCACCCCCGCCUGCUGCUUGUGCCAUGAGGGCGGCCGGCCCGGCGCUGUGCCCGGUAUGCUACGCGGGAUUCGCGGAUCGCUUGAAGCUGACAGCGCGCCUCGACUGGGGCAAUGAUCUGACUGCGCGCAUCUCACUCGCGCUGCACGGGCGCCCCCCCGAUGGGGUGUCUGUGGCCGCACCCCCACACCCUCUGUGCCCCCGUCGGUACGGCAGGCUGUGGGCUCUUUGUGCGCUGGCACCUGCCGAUGCACGGGCCCCCUCUGCUGGGCACACCCGCCCCGGUGAGAGGCGUACGGGCUGAGGUGAUGGUAGCGGUGUGCCCCCCCCCCCCCCCCCCCCCCCCAUUGCCACAGACUCGCAGCAACGCCCCACCUGUCGCGGCACAUGCGGGCAGUCCAUCCAGGCAUGCCCUCCCCCCUCUGGCGGCACGGACGGAAGUGGAAGAUGCAGACAGCGGGUCCCCCGACAACAACGUCGUGGAACAGGCCCCAGGAUGCAAAACGCAAGCACUGUGCGCACGCGCUGCCAUGCACAGCUGGCAUGGUGUAUCACAUUCAAGCAAGGCAUCCAGAGAUGAGCAGGGCAAGAGAGUGAUGGGCGGAGAAAGGCGGGGGAGAUGCGUACGGAUCAAUCCCACACUGCACGCGUGCAAAACAUGCGGCAUCUGCUACAUCCGACCGGGUGGGCGGGUGCGACGCAGGUGCCGGAAGCAUGAGGGCAACACCCCCAAAUUAUACCAUCGAGUCUUCCAGACUCCGCUGUGGAGAGCCUCCACAUCAUAUUAUGGAAUUCGACGGUUUGAAGCUGCUCGGAGAGAAGCGUGGCACACAGGCAGGAUGUGCAGGGUCUCAGCGGGCCCUGGCCUGAGGCUCAUCCGGCAUGCACCUAGUCUGCCCUCCUCUAAUAGCUGCACGACGGACACCAUCGCUUCCUCCCUCGGGCAGCACCUUGAACGGGUCCCGCGUUGGAUCAAGACAUGGAGUCCAUCCAAGUGCGUGUGGCGCCGCAGGUGCCCGAAGGAAUGGACGCGGAAGAACGAGUCUAUGCGACAUAUCGACCCGGCUCGACGGCUGGACGGCAUGUCCUGGUCGGCCAGGAUGUCGCUGCACCUCAACGGCCGUCAGCUGAGCUGAGGUGGUGUGCGCAUACUUAUUUUUGACCUGUUUCGCUUCAGAAGAAUAUGUG
rnacentral:misc_RNA from 1 species